rnacentral:lncRNA from 10 species
GAAACCAUAUACACUAUGCUUUUAGAUUUUACAAAGGUAGCAUCCUGUUCAUGGUCUUUUGUAAUUUGCACUUUUUUUUUCACUUGACAUUAUUUGCUUGCAACAGCAGAGCAGCAGAAACCUCCUUAGUGCCCCACCAUAGAAGAUUGAUUCCACUGACGGCUACUGACACCUAUCAACAUGUAGAAAUAUGGAACACAUAAUGUGUAUCUUGAUUUGUUUUUUUUUUCUGUUCUUUGGCAGGCUAGCUGGGAGGUGUGUGUGUGUGUGUGUGUGUGUGAGAGAGAGAGACAGAGAGAGAGGAAGAGAGCUUGGAUUAUGAGUGUAGGAUUUUGUGUGUGUGUGUGUGUGUGUGUGUGUGUGUGUGUGUGUGUGUGUGGCUCUGCCCCCAGGCUCCUGGCUGCCUUUGCUUGCACAUGCUGUCAGCUAAGCGGUGGCUGCGAGUCUAGAGGACCUGGCAGGACCUGCCCCACCUCUGAGGCACAGUUCUUAGUGAGACCAUCUGCUUGGUUGUUGGCUAAAUUGGGUCAAGAGCCCAUGCUUCAUUCCCUCAGCCCUGGCCAGGUUGGUCUGUAUCUCGGGCUCCAGUCGUUAGGGGCAGGCUAUUGACAGUUAUGUCCAGAACAGAAUGGCCCAGUCCCAGGGUUUUUCAAUCCACCGUAAAUAUGGGGUAAGAGGAGGGUCACAUGCUGAAGAAUGGGAGCCUUAUCCAUAUCUCGGCUAUGCAGGUGGAUCUUUGUUGGUGAGGUCGCCAAGUGUUGCACAUAUUGCUGGAUUCCUUGUACCAGGUCUGUGGGCCCAUUCCCAACAUCAGGGGGCUCUGCUGCCAAUAGCUGCAACCUCCUCGAAGGGCAUCCAGUACAGGUACUUAUGGUUAAUUUUUUAUGCGAUGAAUAGGCAACAUAGCAGGACUGAUCAGGCUGCAACCAUCCAGACGGCAAAAGAAUAAAAAGACAAAUGCUAAAGAAAUGUAAGACGGUGACCCUCCACAUAACUCACUUCUGGGAGUCAUUUGUUGCCUCUUUAUUUGUAUGUUUCCCC